AACGAACGCUGGCGGCAUGCCUAACACAUGCAAGUCGAACGAGACCUUCGGGUCUAGUGGCGCACGGGUGCGUAACGCGUGGGAACCUGCCCUUAGGUUCGGAAUAACUACCCGAAAGGGGUGCUAAUACCGGCUAAUGUCUUCGGACCAAAGAUUUAUCGCCUUUGGAUGGGCCCGCGUUGGAUUAGCUAGUUGGUAGGGUAAAAGCCUACCAAGGCGACGAUCCAUAGCUGGUCUGAGAGGAUGAUCAGCCACACUGGGACUGAGACACGGCCCAGACUCCUACGGGAGGCAGCAGUGGGGAAUAUUGGACAAUGGGCGAAAGCCUGAUCCAGCAAUGCCGCGUGAGUGAUGAAGGCCUUAGGGUUGUAAAGCUCUUUUACCCGGGAUGAUAAUGACAGUACCGGGAGAAUAAGCUCCGGCUAACUCCGUG
rnacentral:rRNA from 1 species